AGGGAUGGUGUGUGUCUUGAGUGUGUCUUGAGUCUUAGUGUCUUAGGUGUCCUUGAGGUGUGUCUUAAUGGUGUGUGUCUAGGUGUGUCUUAGGAUAGGUGUGUCUUAGGUGUUUUAGGGAUGGUGUGUGUGUCUUAGGUGUGUCUUAGGUAUGGUGUGUGUCUUAGGUGUGUCUUGAGGAUGGUGUGUCUUUUAGGGAUGGUGAUGGUGUCUUAGAAGUGUCUUGAGGAUGAUGUUUGUCUUAGGUGUGUCUUAGGGAUGGUGUGUGUCUUA